rnacentral:rRNA from 1 species
CCUACGGGAGGCAGCAGUGGGGAAUAUUGCACAAUGGGGGAAACCCUGAUGCAGCGACGCCGCGUGAGUGAAGAAGGAAUUCGUUAUGUAAAGCUCUAUCAGCAGGGAAGAAAAUGACGGUACCUGAGUAAGAAGCCCCGUAUAACGACGUGCCAGCAGCCGCGGUAAUACGUAGGGGGCCAGCGUUAUCCGGAUUUACUGGGUGUAAAGGGAGCGUAGACGGCAGUGCAAGUCUGGAGUGAAAGGCGGGGGGCCAACCCCCGGACGGCUCUGGAAACUGGACGGCUGGAGUGCAGGAGAGGUAAGUGGAAUUCCUAGUGUAGCGGUGAAAUGCGUAGAUAUUAGGAGGAACACCAGUGGCGAAGGCGGCUUACUGGACUGUAACUGACGUUGAGGCUCGAAAGCGUGGGGAGCAAACAGGAUUAGAUACCCUUGUAGUC